rnacentral:rRNA from 1 species
AUAAACGCUGGCGGCGUGCCUAAUACAUGCAAGUCGAACGAGCAGCAAUGCUAGUGGCGAACGGGUGAGUAACGCGUAGGUUAGUUGCCCCGAAGAGGGAAAUACCCAGCCGAAAGGUUGGCUAAUGUCCCAUAGUCUCGCAAGAGUAAAGGAGUAAUCCGCUUCGGGAGACACCUGCGUCCUAUCAGCUUGUUGGUGAGGUAAUGGCUCACCAAGGCUAUGACGGGUAGCUGGUCUGAGAGGAUGACCAGUCACAGUGGGACUGAGACACGGCCCACACACCUACGGGUGGCAGCAGUAGGGAAUUGUUCACAAUGGACGAAAGUCUGAUGACGCAACGCCGCGUGGAGGAAGACGGCCUUCGGGUUGUAAACUUCUUUUCCCAGGGACGAUUAUGACGGUACCUGGGGAAUAAGGACCUGCUAACUACGUGCCAGCAGCCGCGGUAAUACGUAGGGUCCGAGCGUUAUCCGGUAUUAUUGGGCGUAAAGCGCGCGUAGGUGGUUUGGUGUGACUGUGGUGAAAGAUCCGGGCUCAACUCGGGGAACGCCACGGUGACUGCCAGACUAGACGAUAGCAGGGGCAAGCAGAAUUCUCGGUUGUAGGAGUGAAAUCCGUUGAGAUCGAGAGGAAUACCAAUGGCGAAGGCAGCUUGCUAGGCUAUAUGAUGACACUGAGGCGCGAAAGCGUGGGGAGCGAACGGGAUUAGAUACCCCGGUAGUCCACGCCGUAAACGAUGCACACUAGCUAUCAGAAGCAUCGACCCUUCUUGUAGCGAAGCUAACGCGUUAAGUGUGCCGCCUGUGAAGUACGGUCGCAAGACUAAAACACAAAGGAAUUGACGGGGGAUCGCACAAGCGGUGGAGCAUGUGGUUUAAUUCGACGAUAAGCGGAGAACCUUACCAGGCCUUGACAUCUAUCGAAAGCCCUAGAAAUAGGGCCGUGCCUUCGGGAACGAUAUGACAGGUGUUGCACGGUUGUCGUCAGCUCGUGGCGUGAGCUGUGCCCUUAAGUGGGUAAACGAGCGAAACCCUCAUCUUGAGUUAUAUAUGUCUCAAGAGACUGCCGGCAUUCGCCGGAGGAAGGUGGGGAUGACGUCAAAUCAGCGUGGCCCUUACGGCCUGGGCUACACACGUGCUACAAUGCCAUCGACAAAGGGUUGCUAAGUCGCGAGACGGAGCUAAUCCCAUCAGAAGAUGGCCCAGUUCGGAUUGAAGGCUGCAACUCGCCUUCAUGAAGCCGGAAUCGCUAGUAACCGUGGAUCAGCUACGCCACGGUGAAUACGUUCUCGAUCCUUGUACGCCACCGCCCGUCAAGUGAGCCGAGUUGACAAUGCCCGAAUUCUGACGUCUCGUUGGAACACGGUAGGGUCAGCAAGGAGCACU